CACCUUCUUCAAGGGCCGUCGGGGCUUGAUCUUGAAUGGGUGGAAGUUCUUCAAGGGGCGUUGGGGCUUGAUCUUGAAGGAGGAUUUCACGAAGAACAAAGAGGGCUUUCUUGAUCCUUCGGGAUUUGCUUGAGAGCUUCAAAGUUUCGAGGCUUCAAGGCUUUGGUGUGGUGUGACUUCUCUUCCAAUUUGGGAGUAGAGAAAGUGUAUGUAAAAAUCCUCUCUUGAUUCUUUGAUGGAGGAGCCUAUUUAUAGGCUUUGGGAAUGAACCACCACCAUCCAUUUGUUUUGGUGGAUGUUGUAGGUGAAUUGGUGGAUUGUUGUAGGUGAAUUUGGGUGGAGGUUGUAGGUGAAUUUGGGUGGAUUGUUGUAGGUGAAUUUGGGUGUAUGUUGUGAAUUUGGGUGGAUUGUUGUAGGUGAAUUUGGGUGUAUGUUGUAGGUGAAUUUGGGU
rnacentral:sRNA from 1 species